rfam:Oceanicaulis alexandrii HTCC2633 scf_1099451005985 genomic scaffold, whole genome shotgun sequence.
AGGUCACUUGCGGGAGAGACCGGCCGAAGACGCCGGCGCCGAAGGCGCAACCGCCCCGGAAACGCUCAGGCUAACGGACCGCAAGCCUAAG